AUUGAACGCUGGCGGAAUGCUUUACACAUGCAAGUCGAGCGGCAGCACGGGGGCAACCCUGGUGGCGAGCGGCGAACGGGUGAGUAAUACAUCGGAACAUGCCCAGUCGUGGGGGAUAACACUUCGAAAGAAGUGCUAAUACCGCAUACGUCCUGAGGGAGAAAGCGGGGGAUCUUCGGACCUCGCGCGAGUGGAGUGGCCGAUGUCAGAUUAGCUAGUUGGUGGGGUAAAGGCCUACCAAGGCAACGAUCUGUAGCUGGUCUGAGAGGAUGAUCAGCCACACUGGGACUGAGACACGGCCCAGACUCCUACGGGAGGCAGCAGUGGGGAAUUUUGGACAAUGGGGGCAACCCUGAUCCAGCCAUUCCGCGUGAGUGAAGAAGGCCUUCGGGUUGUAAAGCUCUUUCGGCAGGAACGAAACGGUGAGCUCUAACAUAGCUUGCUAAUGACGGUACCUGAAGAAGAAGCACCGGCUAACUACGUGCCAGCAGCCGCCGUAACAC
rnacentral:rRNA from 1 species